AAACAUGUCCUUUUGAAUUUAUUUAAGGUCUAGCCUGCCCACUGAUUUAUUAAAUGGCCGCAGUAUCCUAACUGUGCAAAGGUAGCAUAAUCAUUAGUCUUUUAAUUGGAGGCUGGUAUGAAUGGCUGGACGAGAUACUAACUGUUUCAUUUAUAUUUAAACUAGAAUUUUAUUUUUUAGUCAAAAAGCUAAAAUUGUAUUAAAAGACGAGAAGACCCUAUAAAUCUUUAUAUUUUAUAUAUAUUAGUAAUAUAGAAUUUUUUUAUUAUUAUAUAAAAAAAUAUUUUAUUGGGGUGAUAUUAAAAUUUAAUAAACUUUUAAUUUUUAAACACAUUGAUUCAUGAUUAAUUGAUCCGUUUUUAACGAUUAUAAAUUUAAGUUACUUUAGGGAUAACAGCGUAAUUUUUUUGGAGAGUUCAUAUCGAUAAAAAAGAUUGCGACCUCGAUGUUGGAUUAAGAUUCAGGCUUGGGGGCAGCCGUUCAAGUUUUAAGUCUGUUCGACUUUUUAAAUC
rnacentral:rRNA from 1 species